rnacentral:tRNA from 1 species
AAGGGCUUAGCUUAAUUUAAAGUGUCUGUUUUGCAUACAGGAGAUGUAGGAUGAGGUCUUGCAGUCCUUA